GAUGAACGCUAGCGACAGGCUUAACACAUGCAAGUCGAGGGGCAGCGGGGGAUGCGUUCGCGCAUUCUGCCGGCGACCGGCGCACGGGUGAGUAACACGUAUGCAACCUGCCCCGUCCAGGGGGAUAAUCGGCGGAAACGCCGUCUAAUACCGCGUAUAUCGGUACCGGGCAUCCGGGAUUGAAGAAAGGGCCUUAGGGUCCGGGACGGGAUGGGCAUGCGGCGCAUUAGGAAGUUGGCGGUGUAACGGACCACCAAUCCGUCGAUGCGUAGGGGUUCUGAGAGGAAGGCCCCCCACACUGGUACUGAGACACGGACCAG
rnacentral:rRNA from 1 species